rnacentral:rRNA from 1 species
UCCCAAGUAGCACGGGGCCCGAGAAAUCCUGUGUGAAUCUGGCGGGACCACCCGCUAAGCCUAAAUAUUCCCUGGUGACCGAUAGCGGAUAGUACCGUGAGGGAAUGGUGAAAAGUACCGCGGGAGCGGAGUGAAAUAGUACCUGAAACCGUGUGCCUACAAGCCGUGGGAGCGUCGCGCAUCGAGUCUUUGGCUUGGUGCGUCGUGACUGCGUGCCUUUUGAAGAAUGAGCCUGCGAGUUUGCGGUGUGUUGCGAGGUUAACCCGUGUGGGGAAGCCGUAGCGAAAGCGAGUCCGAA